rnacentral:rRNA from 1 species
AGAGUUUGAUCCUGGCUAGGACGAACCGCUGGCGGCGUGCCUAAUACAUGCAAAGUAGAAACGCUGAAGACUUUACCUUGCUAGAGUUGGAAGAGUUGCGAACGGGGUGAGUAACGGCGUAGGUAACCCUGACCUACUUGCGGGGGAUAACUAUUGGGAAAACGAUAGCUAAAUACCGCAUAACAGUGUUUAACACAUGCUUAGAUGCUUGAAAGAUGCAAUUGCAUCACUAGUAGAUGGACCUGCCGUUGUAUUAGCUAGUUGGUGGGGUAACGGCUACAAAGGCGACGAUACAUAGCCGACCUGAGAGGGUGAUCCGGCCACACUGGGGACUGAGACACGGCCCCAGACUCUACGGGAGGCAGCCAGUAGGGAAUCUUCGGCAAUGGGGGCAACCCUGACCGAGCAACGCCGCGUGAGUGAAGAAGGUUUUCGGAUCGUAAAGCUCUGUUGUAAGAGAAGACGUGUGUGAGAGUGGAAAGUUCACACAGUGACGGUAACUUACCAGAAAGGGACGGCUAACUACGUGCCAGCAGCCGCGGUAAU